rnacentral:rRNA from 1 species
GAUGAACGCUGGCGGCGUGCCUAAUACAUGCAAGUCGAGCGAAUGGAUUAAGAGCUUGCUCUUAUGAAGUUAGCGGCGGACGGGUGAGUAACACGUGGGUAACCUGCCCAUAAGACUGGGAUAACUCCGGGAAACCGGGGCUAAUACCGGAUAACAUUUUGAACCGCAUGGUUCGAAAUUGAAAGGCGGCUUCGGCUGUCACUUAUGGAUGGACCCGCGUCGCAUUAGCUAGUUGGUGAGGUAACGGCGCACCAAGGCAACGAUGCGUAGCCGACCUGAGAGGGUGAGCGGCCACACUGGGACUGAGACACGGCCCAGACUCCUACGGGAGGCAGCAGUAGGGAAUCUUCCGCAAUGGACGAAAGUCUGACGGAGCAACGCCGCGUGAGUGAUGAAGGCUUUCGGGUCGUAAAACUCUGUCGUUAGGGAAGAACAAGUGCUAGUUGAAUAAGCUGGCACCUUGACGGUACCUAACCAGAAAGCCACGGCUAACUACGUGCCAGCCGCCGCAGUAA